ensembl:lncRNA
AUAAUAUAUAAGAAAACUUAUAGGCAAGGGAAAUGAGGAUCUGACUAACAGUUUACUACAAACCCCACAGUAACACCCAGCCUCCCUGUCUGUUACCAGCGUGGACGCUGAUGUAUUGGAGGCAGUUGUUGAAGGCAUAUAAGGACAGAGGGUGAGGGGAGGGUGGAUUGAGUGAGAGGAGAGCUGAUCAAGGUCCCACCAUUACAGGGUCACUGCUGGACAAGUCACUUCUGUCAGACAGGCGCAGCACACAGGACACACCAUACUCUAUUCCUAUAAGGAUAUUGGUCAUGAGUGAACACGUGGAACUGUAACCAUUUAAGAAGGUUUGUACAUGAGAAACAAGUAUAACCUCCAAACAAAGUUUUUUUCAAUGAACUUAUGGAAUGUAAUGGCAUUGCUCAAAGUUUCGGCCUCAGGGCUUGUGGUUUGCUAAAGUGUCGUUUUGAGUGUGGUUUGCCUUAAUCAGUUUAAAAACUUAUUUCCUUCCGGCUAUCUCGCCCUGCUUAUGACUUUUUUUUCUUUUUUAUUUUUAUUACUUACAAAACUUACAAAGAAUGGGUUUCUCUGAGCAGUCAUAUUUGUCGUUUAGUUGAUGGACUGGUUUAAGAUUUGAAUUUGAACCCCAGUGAAUUUUAGUGAUGUAAGUUUUUCAGUGAUUUAAGGGAAGUGUUCGUGAGCACAGAAAUAGAAACCACUUCACGGUCAUCUCUCUGGGUCCUGGUGUGUCGACUGCUACAGCUCUGCCCUUAAUAUAAAGAAAUCUUAAUCAAUCUUAAAUAAUAUACUUUUAAUAAAUCUUAGAAAAGCAUAAGAGACUAUGGAAAGUGUAAUCUCUGAGUAGUUUGGACCAGCCGCCUUACUCAGUGUAGUGUAUUGUCUCUGCAGCUGUUGGCCUGCAAAUCAAUGGAUAAUAGCAAAAGGAGAUGUUUUGAUUGACAUCCCAGGUGGAAUAGGGUAUAAGCUAUGUUAGAUUCUAAACAACACGUGGUGUAUAGUGGAACUUUGUGUACAGUUUCUCUUGAGGCCCACAUUCUCUGGAGGCAGUGUCAUUUACUUUACUAUAGACUUGUGUGUAUUUACUCUAAGAUUGAAGAGGAAGUGUGCGUUUGUUAGAUUUUAAGUCCGGUGAUGUUGAUUAUAACAACUUAUUCCCGCGCGCACACACACGCAAACACCACAGGAGAGAAUACGUUAACAGCUAUGUAUUAACUGUGACUAAGAAAUUGGAUCUGUUUGGUAAAAGUCUUAUCAAUUACUUCUAAAUAAUGAGCGAUGUUACUGCUAGCCAGUGGUUUAUCAUUUAUCUAUAAAGUAUGAGAAUUUAGCAUUCAAUACUAAUUCAGCCUACCUGCUAAUACGUUCCUUCUGAAGGGCUUUAGUAGAGUAACAAUAAAGUAAAUUGUUGCACGUUUUAUUUGGCUUACUACAUAAGUAUUGGAAUAUUACUGGCUCACUAGCUUUGAAUAUUUCGAUAUUUAUUUUAUUUUCAGAGUUACCCUUUAGAUAUUAAACUCUAUAAUUCCAAGAAGAAAAUAAGCAAGAUUAAGCUGAAACUUCUCAAUUCUCAUUGGUCAGUUUGUUAAGUUUAUAAUUUCAUAUUUGUCAUUUGUUGAGUUUGUUAUUGAAACAUGGACAUAAUCAUUAGAGCAAUACAUUACUCUACAAAAUAGUCAGGAGGAGUCAAUAGCUCCUAACUGUGUUUUUAAUGCACUGCUUUCUUGAAAAUAAUUCUCUUUGGCUGUUUGAUUAUGAAUUGAGACAUUACCAGCCAUACAAUGUAAGAUGUCAUACAUCUACAGCUACGUGAUUCUUGGGUCUAUUUUUUGCCUGUCAGACUAGUACACACAGCGUGUGACGUGCGUAUAACCAGCUUUUCAUACGUAUUAACAUUACUCAUGCUGAUGCUAUUGGUGUGUCGCUGCAUAGUGGAGGUAUUCCCCUUUUCAGGACAUUUUUGCGCCACACCCCAUCGUCAUAGGGCUGGGGUAAUGUGUAAGAAAUAGUUCAGUUGUUUGUUUUGUGUUAUUAUCUGCUGUUGCAUUGGUGUUUGGUGGUUGCGGGUCCUUGCAGCGUGUGAUUGUUGUAAGCAGAUAGAGCUCUUUCAUUAUUAGUUCUAGCAUUGCAUUGUCAACUGACAGGUCAGACCACAUUCAUCACACUGCUGCUGAGAAACAGGUCAGUGUUACCUGCAGACUCUUCACACUCCCACAUCAGUACUGUGUGUCUCGCUGUAUUCUCACUAAUCACCAGGGUUGGGAGCGUUACUUUAAAAAUGUAAUCAGUAUCACAAUAUGAAAGUAAUGUAAUCUGAUUAUUUUCAGAAUACUUCAAGGUCACAUGUAAAUAAAGUCAAGAGAAAAGAAAUAUGAUCUAAAAUACUUUUAUGUAGAGCUUAUUUUAGAGCUUAAAAACAUGUUCAAUGUUUGGAUUUGUUUUAAUAAAUAAAUAAAUAAAUACAUAAGCAAAUAAAUAAAAGAUCACACUAUUUACUACUGAAAAGACACUAUUUACAUCACAUAAAUAUAUUUAAAUAAAAUUGGCUUUACUCUGCCCAUGUUUGACAUUUUUCCCCUACAUUCUUUGGAUGUCCAUGGAAUAAAAUAAAAUAUUAGAUGCCACCCAUGUGUAUUCUGCCAUCAUUUACACAUUUGAAUGACUGUGUAAUACAAAGCAAUGUGAUAACAUGAAAGUAAAAAUGACCUUAUAUGGUCAUGGGCACUGUUUCUAUGGGAAAUUUAUUUAAUCCUAAUAGUAUUCCCGUUUUUUACUAAACAUGCCUGUAUUCUGAUUACUUUGUUUUUUUAACGUAACUGUAAAGGAUUACAGUUACCAGUUUUUUGUAUCCUGAUUACGUUACGUUACAUGUAUCCCGUUACUCCCCGAGCCCGCUAAUCAAUAUUUGUUUUCUACAAGCAGUUACUGGUAUUAAUAGACAUUAAUAAUAAAUACUGGACAGAGUAGGUGUUGAAAUAUGUGGAGGCUUAGGGAAAGCCUUCUCAUGGGGAAACUAUAUUAAAAACUAUUAUUUUCUGGAUUGUAUUAGUGUUUUUUUUUCUUCUUUUCUUUCACGUACUGUAUGUCACGAGUAAAGCUAUAGCAUGUUAAAAACUGGUUACUUCCCAGUUGUUGGUAAGUUAAUAAAACAUUUCUACAUUUUGGUGAAAUAUAUUUAUUUUCUUAUUGUAGAUGUGUCAAAGUAUAUUGCAGGCAGAAACAGUUUUGGUCAAAACCAGAUUUUUUCGUAAGGUUGCCAUAGGGCUGAGUGAUACUACAAUAUAAUAUUGAUAUUAUGAUAAAUUAUGUCACAGUAUGCUUUGCUAAGAUGUCAUGGAUAUCACUAUCUUUAUUUAUUUAUUAUAUUUUUUACAUUUUUAAAAGUAGUUACAGCUGAUUUGAUACUAAUAUUUCAUACUUACUCUUGAAAAAUUGUGAAAUGUAAAACAUUUUACAGAUCUAAACGCUUCUUAAAAAUUAAUAUAUUAAAUACAAGUGACAUUUGUAAAUAUAAAGAAUGACACAUUUUUGUAGAUAUUAAAGUAUUAAUUACAUUUUUUAAUUUCAAAAACAUUACUGUAUUUCGGGGAAAUUGUUAGCAAACCCAUGUAUCAUAGUACAUAUAGUGUAUAAUAGAAAUAAAUGUUUUUGAGAAUUGUUAUUUUUUUGCCACACAGGUAUUGAAUUGUGUGACGUUGAGGGUUUAAGCUAUUACAUUAUGCUAUUGAUUUUGCCUCAACUUUAUCCACCACUUUUUCCAUCUGUAUGUUGUGUAAUGUCUGCAAACAAAAACAAAAAUCCCAGAUGAUUUAAAGUAUAUAAACCUAGUUACUGGUGCCUGAAAGUUACAGUUUGCUGGUUUACUCUGUUGAAAGGUUAGACAGUAGCAGCUGAGAAUCAGAGCCCAUCCCCCUUCCUGUUCUGCCUCUCUCUGUCCUGCCAGGAGAAAUGCUGCCCUUGCAUUGUAGCCCCGCCUCCCUUUACAGAUCAGGUUCCUCAUAUGAUUUGUUGCUUAGCUCUCAUGUUGUGUGUCUGCAAAAAAAAUACAAUCACGUUCCUCACUGUUACACACCACUACACUAUAGAAUAAUCAUAAAGUGAACAGAACGUACACUGAAAAGAAGAAAUGGCAGUACACUGUGGUCAGCAGCUGAGUGACCAUGUUGGUGUAAGCAAGUGCCUGCCAGUCAGGGAACAUGAGGCAACAGGCUGAAAAUAUCCUGCAGUUGGUGCUGGCAAUACAACCCAAGGUUGGAGUAAAUCACUGGAGAGAGUCCCAUAGGGCAUCAUAAGUGCCAUCACUGCCACACUUAGGCUAGAACGAAGGUUCUGUAGAGCAAUAAUCUCACAUAAACAGUGCAUUCUCUGUUCUGUAGUGUUCUUUUAAUAGCAACUUAAUUCCGCUAGUUCAUGCUCAAAUGAAACUCAAAAAUAUUCAAUGUGCUAUACAGGUCAUAGUGGCCUGUUCAGGCUUAACAUCCAUUUCAGGUGAUCCAGUAACAACUGGACAGACAAGAAGGAUUUCCGUUCACAUCAUGUAUAUUCAUGUGCCUCGAAUGUCUCUUCAGUGACCAUGUGUGGUCAUAUUUUGUUAGUAGUCUGUUUGCCAGAUCUGCCAAAAGCAACCUGAGAUCACUUCAAAGCCAGACCCAAAACAAGCCAAUACCAGACAAAAAGUCAUACAAAGUUGGAUGGCAUUUCCUAAUUAAAACAUCAAGAUAAAGUUAUACUCUAGACUGUCAUCUAACAGUGAGGCAUUCUGUGCAACUUUUGCUCAGUUAAUCAUGUUUGAUUUAGUUUUCAGCAAUUGUAUAUGUAAAAAUUGAGAGAACUAUAAACCAAAACAAAAUCACUGUAAUAUUUAAAAGUAACCAUCAUACCAUAUUCUUUCAUGAAGCAGUGUUUCCUAAUAUAAUUAUUUGACCAAGGUGCUAAAAUUGUGUGGUAUUAUUAUAGAUAACAGUAGCAGUGAGAAUGAGUAUACUGACACAAAUAUUGUAUACAGAGCUGUGAAAAAGUAUUUCUUCUGUUUUUGUGUAUAUCUCGUACUAAAUUGUUUCAGAAAUUAAAACAAAAUCUAAGAUAACACAAAGGUAACCUGAGUAAACACAAAAUACAGUUUUAAAUGAUAAUGUUAUUUAUUGAAGCAUAAAAAGUUAUCCAGUACUAAAUGGGCCUGUGUGAAAAUGUAUUUGUCCCCAUAGUUACUAAUUCCCCAUAUGAAACUGCAUUCAUAAUGGGGUUCAGCUGGACUAGACACAAACAGGCCUGAUUACUGCAAACCCUGUUCAAUCAAAUGAAACACUUAAAUAGAACUUUUUCAACAGUAUGAAGUUGGUUAAAAUGUCUUACCCAGUAACACACUAUGCCAAAGUUAAAAGCAAUUCCAGAAAUGAUGAGGAAGGUGAUUUGAAAUACAUCAGUCUGGGAAGGGCUACAAAGCCUUUUCAAGGCUCUGGGACUCCAGAGGACCACAGUGAGAGCCAUUAUCUCCAAAUGAAAAAUCUCACAGUAGUGAACCUUCGCAGAACCUUCCAAAAUUCCUCCAAGAGCACAGCAACUACUCAUCCAUCAAGUCACAAAAGAGCCAAGGACAACAUCAAAGGAAAUACAGGCCUCUACUGCAUCAAUAAAGGUCACUGUUCAUAACUCCACUAUCAGAAAGACACUGGGCAAAAAUGACAUCCAUUCAAGAGUGGUGAGAGAUAAACAACUGCUAACCCAGAACAUUAAGGCCCCUCUGAAUUUUGGAAAACUCACCUUGAUGAUCCUCAUACCUUUUGGGAGAAUGUUCUGUGGACUGAUGAGUCGAGAGUGGAACUGUUUGGAAGACGGGUCCCAUUACAUCUGGCAUAAACCAAACACAGAAUUCCACAAAAAGAAUAUCAUAUAUACAGUCAAGCAUGGUGGUGGAAGUGUGAUAGUGUGAGGAUACUUUGCUGCUUCAGGGCCUGGGCACCUUGCAAUAAUUGAGGGAAACAUGAAUUCUGCUCUCUACCAGAAAAUCUUAAAGGAGAAUAUCCAGUCUUCAGUCCGUAAAUUGAAACUCAAGCGCAACUGGAUUAUGCAGCAAGAUAAUGAUCCAAAGCAUAGGAGUAAGUCCUAGUCCUAGAAGUAAGUGAAAGACUAAUCUCCAAUUAUUGGAAGCGUUUGGUUGCAGUUAUUGCACAAACAUAUUUUAAGUGGGCAAUUAAUUUAUUUUGUUACAAUUUAUUUUGUAACACUGGUGAUAACUUUUGGAUAACUUUUUUCCUUCAAUAAAAAAAAUAAAGAAAGGACAACGGUAUUGUGUGUUUACCCCACUUGUCUUUGUUUAUGUUGUAUUUUGUAUUUUGUUCGAGAUCUAAAACUUUUUAGUAUGAAAGAUACACAAAAACAGGAUAAAUCAGGCAAAUAUUUUUUCACAACACUAUUUUUAUAUAAUAAAGAGCGGUGCUUAUUUUGAGAGUGGUAAGAAGAAACACCCAUAUUAGAGCAGACUUUACAUCUUCAGUAUGCAUGUUUUAAUGCAGAGAUCGAAUUCAUUUAAUGCAUGCAAAAUGCCCAUGCUGUGGACAAUUUUUUAUUAUUUUUUUUAAAGUAGCCCGAUUCCUCGAACCUGGCAAGACAGGUGACUAGGCAGUUUAGAUGUGACCACUUGCAUGUAGUCAUUUAGAUCUGCAUCUAGCACUGUCCACCUGUGAUACGAUCACCUGAGACAGAUGUUAAUACUAUGCAUGAAAUGAGUCAGUGUUGUAUUUAUAUGCAGUUAUAUUUCUUGGACUUCUAAAAACCGGAACGGUUAUCUGCAGCCUAUGUAUUUCGUUGAUGUGUUUGUCCAUUUAAAGGUGAUUAUGGACAGAAUAUGGGCCUGUAGCUGUGAAGUUUGUCACAUCAUGAGUACAGAAUAGUCUUUUCAGACAGGCUUCUCUGUCAUAGCUCAGUUUUACAGAAUGUUUUGUUCUGCUUUUUGUUAAUUACUGUAACAAUCUAAAAUACAAAUCUCAUUUUCACCCAGCUGUAUACAGAGUCACAAUGCAAGCUUGCAUCUUCCCAGUACACUCUCAUUGAAGUCUGUGCUUGCUCUUCAUGCUCCACUGCUUUUGCGUCAGUUUUGACUCUUUUACCAGUUCCAGGACUGGCACCAUAUGGCUGUCGAUGACUGUCAUUGAGCAAGCUGUGGUUUGGGUGUUGUUUGUGAAGCAGCUCUUUUGCAAUGAGCUGAAUUAAACAUCUGACAACUGUGCUGUUCAGUACACGGGGAUCCUGUGCUAAGCUGCAAAGGUGAUGGAUUUCUGUGCGCUGCUCUGGCCCGAAUCCAGUCCCAGUCCAGGCGCUGGCUCUUAUCUCUAAGCCCCAGGCUACUCUGCCUUCAGUUCCAGGCAGGGAUGACAAAACUGGACUCUCUCUCUCACACCCUGCAGAGGAGAUUACAUGUUCUCGCACUCACAGUUGCACAGAAUGGCGUAUGCCCACACAUGGAUGUGCGCCUUCUGUGCUUAUCCAAGUGGAACUUUGGUGCUUCAGAGCACGUCAGCAUAAGAUGGAUUGCAGCAGCACUGUGUUUGAUAAGGUUUCUCUCAGGCAGGAGUACGUGAAAGAUGUAGAGCUGUAAUUAUUUCAGUGAUUUUCUAAUUACUUCUUCCGUAGAUUGUUUCCAUUACAUAAAUAUGAUCAGUAUGCACUAUGCUGCCAUUCAACACUGUAUUGACUUAUUUUAGCGAUUAUUAAAAAUGUCUUAUCACUUAUCACUCGGAAAACGCACUAAUAUUACGCAAUGAAUACCACUAUCUUUUGCACCAGAUUUGGAAGAACAUUAAAAUUGCGGCUGAACAAUGUUAUUUUUAUUGUUACCGCGAUGAGUAUUGAAGCUUCCUUUGCAUAGAUGACAUCAUAUGUGUAGGACGAGAAGCAGAACUCAGUGGUGAAGGAGUAUCUGCCAUCAAAAUGAGUAGGCAUGUGGGGAAGUACGGAAGAUUUGUCUCUAAAACCAGUAGCGCUUUAAUUGUCUUUUAGCUAUAUCUUGCAAUAAUCUCUCUCAAACGUAUACUGAGUACCAAAGACAGCUUGUAAUCAAUCUCUGAAGACCAGCACAAGCAGCAUGCCUUUUUCGUUCAGGCAGUGCUUGUGUUUUAGUCAGUGCCACUAGCGUUAUCCGGUCAGCUUGCUACUAUCAGCUUUGUGCUGGGUUUAUUGUUUAUUAAAAUACAAACAUUAUUUUUUUAAAUAAAUUGGAAAAUUUGAUCUUGCAGGGGUUCAUCUUUGAUUUCUUACAUCACAUAUGAUUAUUGCAUCAUCCAGCAAGGUACACAUUACAUUUUUUUAAUGUUUUUCAUGAUCUGUACAACUGCUCUUGGUCCUCAUGAACUAGCACUAGUUCCUUAUGCCUUUUGAGUAACUGUGGAGUUGUUUGUAUUGUUCUUGUGCACAUACAGGUGCAUCUCAAAAAUUUUAAAUAUUCGUGGAAAAGCUCUUUUAUUUAUUUAUUUAUUUAUUUAUUUAUUUUACAUAAUUUCAUUCAAAAAGUGGAACUUUCAUAUAUUCUAGAUUUGUUACACAUAAAGUGAAAUAUUUCAAGCCUUUUUUUUGUUUUAAUUUUGAAGAUUACAGUUUACAGCUCAUGGAAAUCAAAAAUUCAGUCUCUCAACAAAAUGUUAGAAUAAAGAAUUUAUAAUACAGAAAUGUCGACCUUCUGAAAAAUAUGUUAAUUUAUGCACUCAAUUACUUGCUCCUUUUGCAUGAAUUACUGCCUCAGUGUCUUGUGGCAUGGAGGCAAUCAGCCUGUGGCACUGCUGAGGUGUUCUGGAAGCCCAGGUUGCUUUGAUAGCGGCUUUCAGCUCAUGUGUAUUGUUGGGUCUGUUGUCUCUCAUAGAUUCUCAAUGGGGUUCAGAUCAGGCGAGUUGGUUGGCCAAUCAAGUACAGUAAUACCAUGGUCAGCAAACCAGUUAUUAGUAGUUUUGACACUGUGGGGCAGUCCAAGUCCUGCUGAAAAAGGAAAUUAGCAUCUCCAUAAAUCUCGUCAGCGGAUGGAAGCAUGAAGUGCUCUAAAAUCUUCUGGUAAAUGCUGCAUUGACUCUCGACUUGAGAAAACACAGAGGACCAACACCAGCAGAUGAUAUCGCCCCCCAAAUCAUCACUGACUGUGGAAACUUCACACUGGACCUCUCCACUCUUCCUCAAGACUCCGGGACCUUGAUUUCCAAAUGAAAUACAAAAUUUACUUUCGUGUGAAAAGCGGACUUUUGACCAGACCACUGAGCAGUAGUGUUUUUAGUAAAAAUGUGUAGUUAAUUAGCUGAUUAGAGCUCAUCUCAGGUUGACGUUGCUGUAUUAUUAAUUCUUUAUUAUAAUAUUUUUGCGAAACUGGAUUUUUCUGGUAUCUCAUUUUCAUGAGCUGCAAGCCAUAAUCAUCCAGAUUAAAACAAAAAAAAGGCUUGAACUAUUUCUCUUUAUGUGUAAUGAAUCUAGAAUAUAUGAAAGUUCCACUUUUUGAAUUCAAUUACGGGAAAAAACGUUCCCAUUUAUAUAUA